GAUGAACGCUGGCGGCGUGCCUAAUACAUGCAAGUCGAGCGAACGGACGAGGAGCUUGCUCCUCUGACGUUAGCGGCGGACGGGUGAGUAACACGUGGAUAACCUACCUAUAAGACUGGGAUAACUUCGGGAAACCGUAGCUAAUACCGGAUAAUAUAUUGAACCGCAUGGUUCAAUAGUGAAAGACGGUUUUGCUGUCACUUAUAGAUGGAUCCGCGCCGCAUUAGCUAGUUGGUAAGGUAACGGCUUACCAAGGCAACGAUGCGUAGCCGACCUGAGAGGGUGAUCGGCCACACUGGAACUGAGACACGGUCCAGACUCCUACGGGAGGCAGCAGUAGGGAAUCUUCCGCAAUGGGCGAAAGCCUGACGGAGCAACGCCGCGUGAGUGAUGAAGGUCUUCGGAUCGUAAAACUCUGUUAUUAGGGAAGAACAUAUGUGUAAGUAACUAUGCACGUCUUGACGGUACCUAAUCAGAAAGCCACGGCUAACUACGUG
rnacentral:rRNA from 1 species